GACGAACGCUGGCGGCGUGCUUAACACAUGCAAGUCGAACGGAAAGGUCCUGCUUUUGUGGGGUGCUCGAGUGGCGAACGGGUGAGUAACACGUGAGUAACCUGCCCUUGACUUUGGGAUAACUUCAGGAAACUGGGGCUCAUACCGGAUAGGAUCUCCUGCUGCAUGGGGGGGGUUGGAAAGUUUCGGCGGUUGGGGAUGGACUCGCGGCUUAUCAGCUUGUUGGUGGGGUAGUGGCUUACCAAGGCUUUGACGGGUAGCCGGCCUGAGAGGGUGACCGGCCCCAUUGGGACUGAGAUACGGCCCAGACUCCUACGGGAGGCAGCAGUGGGGAAUAGUGCACACUGGGCGGCAGCCUGAUGCAGCAACGCCGCGUGCGGGAUGACGGCCUUCGGGUUGUAACCCGCUUUCGCCUGUGACGAAGCGUGAGUGACGGUAAUGGGUAAAGAAGCACCGGCUAACUACGUG
rnacentral:rRNA from 1 species